rnacentral:sRNA from 1 species
CUGGUGGGCGGGGACAAGCCUCUGGUGCUGCACCAAGACAGUAGCAUCUUGGAGUCAAGGGACCUGCGCCUAGAAAAGCGCACCUUGUUUCGGCUGGAUCUUGUUCCGAUUAACCGGUCAGUGGGACUCAAGGCCAAGCCCACCAAGCCCGUCACGGAGGUGCUGCGGCCCGUGGUGGCCAAAUACGGCCUGGACCUCAGUGGCCUGCUGGUGAGGCUGUGCCGAUCUCUGCCCUAGAGUGGAGAGAAGGAGCCCCUGGACCUUGGCGCCCCUAUAUCGAGUCUGGACGGACAGCGGGUUGUCUUGGAGGAGAAGGAUCCUUCCAGAGGAAAGGCAUCCGCAGAUAAACAGAAAGGUGUGCCAGUGAAACAGAACACAGCUGUAAAU